GGGGUAUGCUCAGAGCAAGGGUCCUAAAGAAUGGCUCCUCUGUUUAUAACAUACCCAAAAGGAAACUGGGAUCAUUGUGAUGAGGGGCACAGAACUUGUGGCCUCUCUAUGAACAAAUUCCAUACACGU
ensembl:snoRNA